CAAUCAACUUACAGAGAGAAAAGUAUUUGUGCUAUACUACUAUCUGGGUUGCUUUGCGUGUCUGCAACCAUUAACUCUACUGCUUUAGAAAUUUGAUGAUAUUUAUUUGAAAUUUGAAACUGUUGCAUGCAUUCUUAUUGAUCGUUCUACAAAUAGGGAUGAAUGAAAGCACUGGCUCUGCAGGAUCACUUCCUCUCCUUUGAUUGCUGACAACUUUGAAUCUGGAUCACUUCCUCUCCUCUGGGCGGAUGUUUUGAAGGCUGAUGACGACGGUAGCGGAAUGGGUUGCUCUGGGUUCUCGAGGGUGAAGACUAUGGAGAUUCGAGAUGGAGCCUGGAUCGGAUAGAUUGGGGGCUUCAUCUAACAGUAAAGAGUUGUUAAUUUAGGAUUUGUUUGGAAAGAGGGAAGCUCUUCAAUUGCUACUCUCACGUCUCAACCCAGAUAAUUUUUUUACGAUUUCUCUCUUCGAUUGAAAACAACAAAUGUGGCUAUUAAGCAUCACUCACGGAUAUCUUCUUCAAGUCGUCGUCUCCUGCGCAAUCAGAAAACAAAGGGAAACCGAGAGAAGAGGAAACAAGGAGAAGCUUCAUGGCUGCAACUAGAGGACAGUAGUUCAUGGUGGUUUGAUGAAGCAUGCUAUAUUUUCAUCUCUUUGCUUUCUGAUCUAAGAUAUCUAAGAGUAUCUUAUGUAGUCUUUUUAGAUUCUAACAUUUUAAUUUUCUAUGGUGUUUGAUUAUAAGUUAACACCUUUUCUUUGUUGUGAAUGGCUCUGAUAGGAGAAUAAGAAUGAUUUGCUACAGAUAGUGUGUCGAUAUCAUGCUCAACCUAACCUAUUCCACCUUGAGGAACUGAGUUUGUAUUUCACCCUCUUGAACAUCUACAAGCUAUUCAGCAUAUACGACAUUCUGUUCUUGCUCUUGCCUUUGAAGAAAAUUGGCUAUGGUUACUUAAUGGAAUAGGCUAUGAUAAUUGAAGCAUCUUUCUUCACCGAUAUAUACUCUUUUCAGUGUUUAACUCUAAAAGUUACUUUAAGAAUGUGUAUAGUUUUUAAUAUGAACCUUUUUUACAUGUUUUAGAUGCUGAAUAUUUCUAUAGCAUGAACUGACUUGAUUAAAUCUGAUUUGUUGUCUACCUGCAUAUGUUCUGCCUCAUAAGCCUAACCUCAUUGCUUUUGAGUUUUGAUCAUUUUAACACUCACCUGUUCUAAUUAAUACCCUUUUGUGCUCUAAUUUUGCAGGAUGACAUAGAUGUCAUUGAGGAUGCCAAACGAACCCAUUAUGAAAGAGAAGUUGACAUGAGAAUGUAGUUCGGCCAUUUUCUCUGGGAUUUGGCAACGAGUUGAUAACUUUUUAAUUCUUUUUUAGAAAAGAACUGAUACAACAACACCUGGAGGUAAUGCGCACAACUUGGACAAGUUUGGCAUGGUUUGAUAAAGUGAAGAGCUACUUAGAAACUACAACAGGGAAACUCGAUGAUUUCUUCAAUCAAAUAGCAGAAGGAAGGAAGAAGCUUUUGUCAUCAUAUGGAGAAACAAUUUUGGAUAGAGAAAAAAAAAACUAGAUAAAAAUGUUAAAAUAUGAAGCAAUUUCGUCUCUUUUUUAAUCCAUUAAUCUUCAUUGAUGCAUAUUUUUGUUAAGGCUUUCUCAUAUGGAGAAACAAUUCAUUUCAAUUCACAUGUAGUCACAUUUUCUUUCAAUGGCUAAUAUUGAGAAUUCAAUUCAUUUCUAAUUCAGCGUAUUA